rnacentral:rRNA from 1 species
UUGGAGGGCAAGUCUGGUGCCAGCAGCCGCGGUAAUUCCAGCUCCAAUAGCGUAUAUUAAAGUUGUUGCAGUUAAAAAGCUCGUAGUUGAAUUUCGAGACCGGCUUACUGGUCGUGCUAUUGUACGUACUGGUAUAAUCGGUUUCUCCUUUCUGACGAACUAUAAUGCCAUUAAUUUGGUGUUUUAGGGAAUCAGGACUGUUACUUUGAAAAAAUUAGAGUGUUUAAAGCGGGCUCACGCUUGAAUACAUUAGCAUGGAAUAACGGAAUAGGACGUUUGAUUCUAUUUUGUUGGUUUCUAGGAUCGACGUAAUGAUUAAUAGGGAUAGUUGGGGGCAUUAGUAUUCAAUUGUCAGAGGUGAAAUUCUUGGAUUUAUUGAAGACUAACUACUGCGAAAGCAUUUGCCAAGGAUGUUUUCAUUAAUCAAGAACGAAAGUUAGGGGAUCGAAGACGAUCAGAUACCGUCGUAGUCUUAACCAUAAACUAUGCCGACUAGGGAUCGGAUGAUGUUAAUUUUUUAAUGACUCAUUCGGCGCCUUACGGGAAAC